CUGCGAGUGCUAAGAUCCGUAGUCGAAAGGGAAACAGCCCAGACCACCAGCUAAGGUCCCAAAAUAAUUGUUAAGUGGAAAAGGAUGUGGGGUUGCACAGACAACUAGGAUGUUAGCUUAGAAGCAGCUAUUCAUUCAAAGAGUGCGUAAUAGCUCACUAGUCGAGUGACCCUGCGCCGAAAAUGUACCGGGGCUAAAACAAUUUACCGAAGCUGUGGAUACCUUUAUAGGUAUGGUAGGAGAGCGUUCUAUGUGUGAUGAAGGUAUACCGUGAGGAGUGCUGGAACGCAUAGAAGUGAGAAUGCCGGUAUGAGUAGCGAAAGACAGGUCUGCGAGUGCUAAGAUCCGUAGUCGAAAGGGAAACAGCCCAGACCACCAGCUAAGGUCCCAAAAUAAUUGUUAAGUGGAAAAGGAUGUGGGGUUGCACA
rnacentral:rRNA from 1 species